rnacentral:rRNA from 1 species
UGGGGAAUAUUGGACAAUGGGGGCAACCCUGAUCCAGCCAUGCCGCGUGAGUGAUGAAGGCCUUCGGGUUGUAAAGCUCUUUUGGCGGGGACGAUGAUGACGGUACCCGCAGAAUAAGCCCCGGCUAACUUCGUGCCAGCAGCCGCGGUAAGACGAAGGGGGCUAGCGUUGUUCGGAAUUACUGGGCGUAAAGCGAGUGUAGGCGGUUGCCGUAGUCAGGUGUGAAAGCCUUGAGCUCAACUCAAGAAAUGCACUUGAUACUGGGUGACUAGAGGACCGGAGAGGAUAGUGGAAUUCCCAGUGUAGUGGUGAAAUACGUAGAGAUUGGGAAGAACACCAGUGGCGAAGGCGGCUAUCUGGACGGUUACUGACGCUAAGACUCGAAAGCGUGGGGAGCAAAACAGGAUUAGAUACCCUGGUAGUCCACGCCGUAAAUGAUGGGUGCUAGACGUUGGCGAGCUUGCUCGUCAGUGUCGCAGCUAACGCGUUAAGCACCCCGCCUGGGGAGUNCGGCCGCAAGGUUGAAACUCAAAUGAAUUGACGGGGGUC